rfam:Gossypium raimondii scaffold_1056_contig_1, whole genome shotgun sequence.
GGGUGCGAUCAUACCUGCACUAUUGCUCCGGAUCCCAUCAGAACUCCGCAGCUAAGCGUUAUUGGGCGAGAGUAGUACUAGGAUGGGUGACCUCCUGGGAAGUUCUCGUGUUCCACCCC